AGGAAGGAAAGCUUGCUUUUCUGAAUCUAGUGGCGAACGGGUGAGUAACACGUAGGUAACCUGCCCAUGUGCCCGGGAUAACUUCUGGAAACGGAUGCUAAAACCGCAUGAUGUGGAGGGGAGACAUCUCUCUUUCACCAAAGGAGCAAUCCGCUGUAAGAUGGCCUCGCGUCUGAUUAGAUAGUUGGCGGGGUAACGGCCCACCAAGUCGACGAUCAGUAGCCGGACUGAGAGGUUGAACGGCCACAUUGGGACUGAGAUACGGCCCAGACUCC
rnacentral:rRNA from 1 species